rnacentral:rRNA from 1 species
UACGGGGGGGGCAAGCGUUGUUCGGAAUUACUGGGCGUAAAGGGUUUGUAGGUGGCUUGCUAAGUCAGACGUGAAAUCCCCCGGCUUAACCUGGGAACUGCGUCUGAUACUGGACGGCUUGAGUAUGGGAGAGGGAUGUAGAAUUCCAGGUGUAGCGGUGAAAUGCGUAGAUAUCUGGAGGAAUACCGGUGGCGAAGGCGGCAUCCUGGACCAUUACUGACGCUAAGGCGCGAAAGCGUGGGGAGCAAACAGG